AGAAGAAAUGACUGUUUCAAGUUGCUCCAAAAGCUGGGAGUGUGUGGGAACAAAGCUACCAUCAGGCCAAAUUAACACUCGUUAGGUGACGUCCAUUGACUUACUGAGGCUCUGUUUUCCCGAUGGAGUGAAUGUUGUGCAGCUUUCCUAACCUGAAAAUCCCGUGGGGAGAGAAUUUGUGUUUGUUUUUCUCUGAUCACUUUGCUUAACAACCCUGCUCUCAGCUGCCUUCAGUAAAUGUUCCUGGCAGAGCGGUGUUCUAUCUGUUGGACGCUACAGUUCCUCUGUCUCAAAGCAGUGAAAUGUGUCCCGGAAGUAGGUUAGCUGCAGGAGUGAUGCAGACUCACACCCGUAUCCGUUCCCAGAUAACAGCUUUUACUUUUUUAUUCUUCGUUGACAAGUCGUGGCUAUGAUUGAUAAAAGGUGAAGCUCCUUGAAGACGGAGACAGUUCGUUAGGAGAAAACCCCAGGGCAUCAUAAACACCAGGCAACACAGAGAGCUGUGGAUGCCUGGGGGUAAGGACUCAAAAAGAUCACGUAGGAAGAACAAGACGAAAGUUUGACAUCAUGGGACUUCUCUGAACGUAAAAACAAAACUGUAUUUUAUUCGGAUGGAGGCUGAACUCCACAAACCA